GACGAACGCUGGCGGCGUGCCUAAUACAUGCAAGUAGGACGCACAGUCUAUACCGUAGCUUGCUACACCAUAGGCUGUGAGUUGCGAACGGGUGAGUAACGCGUAGGUAACCUGCCUAUUAGAGGGGGAUAACUAUUGGAAACGAUAGCUAAUACCGCAUAACAGUAUGUAACACAUGUUAGAUGCUUGAAAGGUGCAAUUGCAUCGCUAGUAGAUGGACCUGCGUUGUAUUAGCUAGUAGGUAGGGUAAUGGCCUACCUAGGCGACGAUACAUAGCCGACCUGAGAGGGUGAUCGGCCACACUGGGACUGAGACACGGCCCAGACUCCUACGGGAGGCAGCAGUAGGGAAUCUUCGGCAAUGGGGGGAACCCUGACCGAGCAACGCCGCGUGAGUGAAGAAGGUUUUCGGAUCGUAAAGCUCUGUUGUUAAGGAAGAACGAGUGUGAGAAUGGAAAGUUCAUACUGUGACGGUACUUAACCAGAAAGGGACGGCUAACUACGUG
rnacentral:rRNA from 1 species